GAAAUGGUUGAAGACUAGAUUAGAUCUACAUCUAGUUCUAGACAUAGAUCUAGAUCUCUAGAUCUACUGAUCUAGUAGUCUAGGUCUAGAUAUUAGAAUUAGAUCUAUUCUUAGAAUCUAGUGGCGAUUUUAUUGUUUACCAUGGAGUUGUCUACUUUUCAAAUUUUACUGACCAAGUUUUGUACAGUGACUGAUCCAUCAGCAGUUUCCGAAGCAGUAACUGAUAUCUCAAAAAAAUAUCGCUUUGCUGAUGGUGUCUGGUCACCUCAGAGGAUCAACAGGAUUUGUUCAUUGAAAGACACUUGAAGAUUUAGGCAGUUAAAGCAAAAGGACUUCUUGCAAUGUUUGUUUCAAGGACCAGACACAACAGAAUUCCACAACAUAUGUAUCGGAAGCUCAAAAUCAGAAACUGAAAUCUGCCCAUGUGGAGUGUCACCAGAGAAUGUUGACCAUCUCCUCCAAAAUUGCUCUCUUUACCAAGAGGCUGUACAUGACACUGGCCCCAAAACACCCCAAUAGAAAGAAAACUAUAUGGAGAGUUCCCUGAUUUGGAAAUCACUGCAAAAAUAAUCUCAUAUACUGGUCCAGUCAUCUGAAUGCUCCAAUAAAAAAAAUGAGAAGGAAGAAGAAAAAGAUUGUAUGUACCAUUUUUGUUUGUUUGAGGAUGGGGAGAAAAGUGUUCUUAGAAUUCAAACACCAAAAGUAUGUGUCUUUAUGAAUUCAAUGUAAUUGAUACUAGGCUUUUUGAGCUGAAAAUAAAAUGCAGGAAAUUUUAUUGGAAGUGCAGAAAAAAAAAAGAGUUUUUAGCCAAAAUAAACAAUGUAUAGCCUGAGAACAAAUCAGGUGGAAGAACCAAGGGUAAUGCUAGUAUACUAUAGAAGUAGUACCUUUUUUUAUGCUUGCAACUUCAUUGAUGCAUAACAGUGUCACAAACUGUUUGUUAAUGUGAUAUGAAACAUAAUUUUUUUAAUUUUUUUUGUUACACAUAUAAUCACUCUAAAAAAAUUAUUUCUAAAAUAGAUAACUGUCUCUAGUAACCUGCUAGUGGACCAUGACCAACCUUUUUCUAUCUUGCUUUGUAUGAUAUAAACUUUCCUAGAUUUGACUUUCAAUUGUCGUUCUGAUCAUGUCAGUUAUGCUAUAGGCUACUUUUAAUUGCAUAUGUUAGACAAAUAUAGUGAAAACAAGAGUAUAUAACAUUUUCUAAAGAAAUUUUUAAUAUUUUGCAUUUUUAGGGAAGCAACAUGGCUAUCGAAAAGCAGAGACCAUACAAACCUCAUUAGAUGAAGAGUUUUAUUUUGUUGGUAAAGUCCUUGGUUUUGAGCCAUCAGAGAAACAUAGAAAGCUCUGUUUUGACAAUAUAUAAAGAGUGACUUUAGCUCAACUCCUCACCAAGCUUUACAGUCUGUGACAUUUUUUUGGUAAAACUUUUAAUCAGAUUUAUGUGUGUAUACUUAAUUAUGUUAACUACAUUGAUCAAGAAUACUCAAUUCAUAAAAAGAAGCUGCUUUAAAGGAUUAAAGAUAACUUUGACCCUUUUGAGAAAACAAAUUUAAACACAAGAUUUUGAAUUAAUUUUGUAAUUCUUUUAUAUUUUUUCUUUCUGAAAGCCACAUAACAACACAAGUAUUUAUUCAAGGUUUUGAAUGUAUGGUAUACUGUUAGGUUUAGUAUUGAGUCAUUUAGUAAAUUGUUUUUGUUUUGUGGUUUUUAUAAAUUAAUAAAUGGAAGUUUAUAUAAUGUGUUAUGCUUAUAUGUAUGAUUUUUUUUACUGAUCUAAAGAAAGAAACUUGAGGAUUUUAAUUUUUAUUCCUUUUGAAACAUGUAAGGAAUAUUAGAACAUUGGUUGGCAACAUUAUUAGUGUAAAAAUGUAUUUCACUUGUUAGCCAAGAAUGCUUAUAACUGAGAUGACAUCACUAAUUGUGGUUAACAAGGGUGCCAUGUUGUCAGCACAAUAACCAACCGCCUUUACUUUUCCUAACUCAUAUCAGGUACCCAUUAGAGCUGGGUGGACUCAAAGGCACCAUAAAGAUCCCAAAAUUAAAAUACCCGUCUUCACCAGGAUUUGAACCCAGGGUCCUCCUGUUUGGAAGUCAAGUGCUUUACCACUCAGCCACAUGCCUCCGUUAAAGGCUAGAUUUUGUGACAAUUAUUUUUAGGUCAGAGAAUGAUGUAUGCACAAAGUUGUAGGUUUUUUUUAUUAAAUUUAUUUGUAUUUAACCACUGACUUAUUAAUCUCUGAAUUGUCAAAUUUAAGUUUGUAAUCAGUUAGUGUUGACCUUGGCUUGAUAGGCUAAAAGGAUUAACAAUAAUAAUAAUAAUAAUUAUAGCUUGUAUGUAGUGCUACUUUCAUGCUUACAGCAUGCUCAGAGUGCUGUGUUCCAAUCUUAUGUGUGGACCAGUAGGGAGGGGGGGGGUUUGGGAGAGGGUUUUCCGUGCUGCCUUCGGGUACUCAUUAAACAGAACUCUGCUUGAG